GCUGUAGCUCAAUGGCAGAGCCUCUGCUUUCCAUGGAGAAGGUCCCAGGUUCAAUCUCUGGCAUCUCCA